CCCCCUUCAUAUGCCUCAGAGUGGUUUGGUCCGUUGCCAAUCAACCUGCACCUACUCAGCCGUCCCAGUGAGUCUGUGGAGCAGGCGGGAGUGUAGCAGCUAGCUAAACACAUCAGGGAUCAAACUGGCGAGGAACGCUGCUGAUGGUGCAACCAGCCGUUCAUCCCGCUGAGCGUUGAAAAGCUGCUGCUCUUCUUCUUCUGUGAUGGAGUCGAUGUGGAGAAUGAGACGAUGUCAGUUUCUCUGUGACAGCCGAGCAAAGUUGAGCCGCCAAAGAGGUGAAGAGGCUCCACGAGGGCGCUGAGGAGGGUCUUAUAUCGUCGGCUGGGAGAACACAUGCCGGCCCGGAGUCUGUUCGCCGCCUCAAGCGUGAGAGCGCUGGACUGCACGAGGCGGUGUGUACAUCCAGCUGACUGCCUGGUAUCCUGGGAAGACCCGUCACACAGGCCAGGUUUCCUACAUUUCCCAGAAUACCUUUCAACAUUCCUCAACAUACGCCUGAACUGCAAGAAGUUAACUUGUUCAACAUCUGACUUCGUUGUUCAUCAGUGAACCGCUGACGUCUUCAGUCGCAUCAUAAAGAACGAAGAGACAAACCAGAUUUGUGUGAGUGAUCGAACGAUCCGAGACGGUCAGAGAUGUUUAAACUUUCAACACGUCUGUGGUGGAAACUGAAACAUGAACAAGUUCAUUUUUACACUGUAAAAAAGUGCCAAGCUUGAUCUGAUGCACCCAAAAUUAAGGAAUUCUUAAAAACAUUAAUUUCCUUGUUAACUGUUUUGAUGCACUGAUGAUUCAAGGCAACAUUAUUUUAUUGUUAAACUGUAAAAUGUCCUCUGCUAUAAAUCUUUGUCAUAAUAUUGGAACUUUUUAUUCUCUAAUAUCGUUAUUGUACAGAAUUAAUUCUUUCUGGUGAUCCAUGUUUUUGUGUUUAUGACUCGAGAACUGGUGGAAAAAGUUUUGUCAGGUUAUUAUUUGAGAAAACAGGUGAAAAGAUGUAUGAAUCCAAAAUAUAUUGGAAGGAAACAUCAUUGUUUUUUUUUAUAAUUAAAACUUUCAGUUGUCUUUGGAACAGUUUAGUGGUGAAAUUCAGCCUCUUGUGGUCAAAGUGAGUAUUACAAAAACAAACACUUCCACGGUUUCACACAUUGAGGGGGAAAAACUCCUGAAAAUUUCUGGAGGGAAAAGUUUUACUAGCAAAAUUUAUUUUGGGAAAAAAGUGUUGAAGAUUAGUCUUACAAAAAAUGUUUUCCUCCAGACAACCUUCUUUUCAGUCAGUGUUUGUUUCAGUAACACUCAAUUUGAUGAUUUCUUAUUUUUCACCUGGUUUCAGACAAAAACUCUUAUGGUUUUAAAUUGUAAAAGCUCCUGUCGUCAACAUCAGUCUCUCAAAAACACUUUGAGUGAAAAAGAAAAGUUUUGACAGGAGACUUUUUUAAAAUCUUAAAAUUUGUGGAAAAUAAAAUUUGUGGGGAGAAAAAGUUUGGUGUGAAAGAAAAACAUUUUUGGUGGUGAAAAUAUUUUUUAUAGUGAAAGUUCCUGUUGUCAAAAUAAGUAAAACAAUUAAAUAUAUAAAUGUUUUUAAUCAAGUUAUAUAGAGUAUACUGGUCAACUUUUCUCCCCAACAGUUCUCAGGAGAGAAAAAACUAUUUAGAUCAAACUGAAACUGGAUCAUCAGAAAAAAAAAACUUUUCUUCACUUGUCCCUCAGGGGCUUCCGUACUUCUGACCAUCAGACAGGCUUUAAUUACUGUCAGCCAUUACAUCGUGAUCUGACUUAAAUUACAGUUUACUGUGUAGGAUUUAGUGACAUCUCUUUGAAUGUUACCCUAAACUUUGUAGCGGCUGAUAAAUACACAAAAGCUGAUCAUGUUUGUCUGUUCUGGGCUACUGUAGAAACAUGGCGGAUGCUGGGAGACGUAAAAGACUCAUUCCAAGCUAAUAAAAACAACAAGAGAGCCUCAUAAAUCCUUCUCACUGAAACUUCUGCAAAGUCUCACAUCAGUUUGUCUCUAGUCAAAGUUUUCAGCGUCACUCUCACAGGUGCAUUGUGGGAUAAAGAGUUUUCAGGUGGAUUUUUCCCUUCGAGGUAAAUUCACAAACUGAAUUGGCGUCGUUGAAACUGAAUGGACCCAAAACACCUGAAACACAUAAAAUUAUCACCAUAUUCAAAAGAACUCAGAGUAGCAUAAUAAUAGUAAAAUGGAUUUCGUCCCCGUUAUAUUAAAACGUCGUCCAGACUUUGAACAAAUCACUUGAGAGAGAAAAACAAAAUACAAAAACGUUAAAACAAUCAACGUGGAAUUGAUUCCAGCACUGAUUUGUUGAUUUGAAACCAAAGACGUAGAAAACAGAAUGGCACUAAUCUGAGUUGUCUACUCACAGAAAAAAAAAAAAAACAGAAACCCAGUUUGGUUUUAAAAACCUUUUUCUUUCAGAACAACACAAAGUUUCACUGACGGUUUUCGGGGACGUUCCCUUGAGAAAGAAUCUGAUGGUCCUUUAUUUUGAAAAACGUAUCUUAAGGAGAAAUCCAUGCGAGGUCUCACCUCUUAGAAAUGUUUUUUUUUUCUUUAUACAAAGUUUACCGCAAAACUUUUUUUUUAUUUGUAAGAAAAAUGACAAAAAAAGGCCAAAAUAAAAGCCCUGUCAUUCUCACCAAAAUAAAAGCGUUGAUAUUUGUACAGGAGCGGAGCUGGAACUUACUCUGGAGGAGGCGUUGGUCCCCACAGUUCAUCAGCACAACAAACUACAUCCUGACGUCCGUCUGUUCAGCUCAGUGCUUCUCAGCUGCAUCACGACCCAAAGUUCAUCUCGAAGGCACAAAACCCAGCGUCCAUCUGAACUGUGACCCGUCUGAGCUUCCUGCGGCCAUCUUUGGGUCCCGACCCGCUAGCUGAGAAACACUGACGUGUUGUCGUCUCCGGGGGGGAGCAACGUUAACACUGCGGAGGAAACAAACAUGAAGUCAGGAUGUUCCAGUAAAAUGUCAGAAGAUGCGUCUGUGUUUAAAUCUCUGACGAUGACCUGAUAUUUACUGUGACUGAAUAUCAGGUCAAACGUCCCGACGUCGGCUGAUUAACUGUUAACUCGAGCGUCAGUUCUUCACUUCUAAGCUUUCAGUCGUUCCUGGGGAUCUUUUUCAUAAUCAAUUAAUUUCUAACAGCUUCCCGCAGCUCAACAUGACGUCUGUAAACAUGUUGUUGUGCUCAGCCAGCAGUCCAAAUCACAAAUCAAUUUUAAAAUGAUUGAAAACAGAGAAGUGCGGCUCGUUCUCACAUCUGAACAGCUGUUUAAUAAAAUUACUUAAACAGACAACAGCUGCUUGAUUAAUUGACUAAUUUUGCCAGAAACAUUGGCUCAGAGGGAACUUUACCAGCAGCAGGGUGUCUGAGACGAAGCAUCUGUAAAACAUCAAUUAUCCUACUUGUGUUUGGAUUUAAGGCAAACAGACAAUGAAGAAAGAUGCUUUUUAAGUACGGAAGCCCUGAGGGACAAAACAAGAACCGUUUGUUUCUGCUGAUCCAGUGUCAGUCUGAGAGAAACUGUUUUCUCUCCUGUGACCAUGAGAACUGAAACUAAACAAAAGGUUUUACCAAGAAAAUCUUUAUAUGUUUCAGUCAAUUGAUUUUUUUUACAUGAGUAAAUAAAUUGUACCACAACAGUGAAAGAUACAAUUUCAGAUUUCUUUUCUUCAUCUGUGAAACCAAAUGGAAGAAAGACGUUUCAGAGGAACUUCUUCUUCCAUGUUUGAAAUAGAUUUAAUUUUUUAAAAAAGUGUUUACAGGAGAGUUUUUUGUGAGAAAAUUGACAAAUUUGACUUUUCACACAUAGAAAAAAAAUCUCAGCCUUAAUUUUUAAUUCUCCUGCCAAAACUUUUUCCCCUUUUCUCACAUGCAACAACAAAAAGUUUAAACUCAUAAUGGAAACAAAUAAAAAACAUGAAACUA